GGAUGGGUGGCCGAGCGGUUUAAGGCACCGGUCUUGAAAACCGGCGUGGGGUUAAACCCACCGUGGGUUCGAAUCCCACCCCAUCCGCCA
rnacentral:tRNA from 1 species